GGCCCCGUAGCUCAGUUGGAUAGAGCAUCCGCCUUCUAAGUGGAUGGUCGCAGGUUCGAAUCCUGCCGGGGUCGCCA
rnacentral:tRNA from 1 species